CCUANGGGGGGCAGCAGUAGGGAAUAUUGGUCAAUGGGCGAAAGCCUGAACCAGCAACGCCGCGUGUGCGAUGAAGGCCUUCGGGUUGUAAAGCACUUUUCUGAGGGACGAGAAAGGACGGUACCUCAGGAAUAAGGAUCGGCUAACUACGUGCCAGCAGCCGCGGUAACACGUAGGAUCCAAGCGUUAUCCGAAUUUACUGGGCGUAAAGCGCGUGCAGGCGGUUAGGUAAGUUGGGCGUGAAAUCUCCUGGCUCAACUAGGAGAGGUCGUCCAAAACUACCUGACUAGAGGACGGUAGAGGGAGGUGGAAUUCCCGGUGUAGUGGUGAAAUGCGUAGAUAUCGGGAGGAACACCAGUGGCGAAAGCGGCCUCCUGGACCGUACCUGACGCUCAGACGCGAAAGCUAGGGGAGCGAACGGGAUUAGAUACCCUUNUANUC
rnacentral:rRNA from 1 species